rnacentral:tRNA from 1 species
UUUCAAAAACAGUUUUUGAAAACAUUAACUUUGGAAGUUAAAGGAUUAAGAUUUUAAUUUUUGGGUUAAAUACUU